rnacentral:piRNA from 1 species
UUCAUUAUAUUGCCAUGGUCAU